GAUGAAGAACGGAGCGAAAUGCGAUAAGUAAUGUGAAUUGCAGAAUUCAGUGAAUCAUCGAAUCUUUGAACGCACAUUGCGCCCAUUAGCAUUCUAGUGGGCAUGCCUGUUCGAGCGUCAUUUCAACCCUUAAGCCCUGUUGCUUAGCGUUGGGAGCCUACAGUACUGUAGCUCCCCAAAGUUAGUGGCGGAGUCGGUUUCACACUCUAGACGUAGUAAUUUUUUCUCGUCUGUAGUUGAGCCGGUCCCCUGCCGUAAAACACCCAAUUUAUCAAGGUUGACCUCGGAUCAGGUAGGAAUACCCGCUGAACUUAAGCAUAUCAAUAAGCGGAGGA
rnacentral:misc_RNA from 1 species